CAUGGCUGUCGUCAGCUCGUGUCGUGAGAUGUUCGGUUAAGUCCGCUAACGAGCGCAACCUCGCUGUGUGUUAUAUGUGUCACACGGGACUGCCGGUCUUAAGCCGGAGGAAGGUGGGGAUGAUGUCAAGUCAGCAUGGCCUUUAUAUCCUGGGCUACACACACGCUACAAUGGCCAACACAAUAGGUUGCUAAGCCGCGAGGUGGCGCCAAUCCAUAAAGUUGGUCUCAGUUCAGAUUGUAGGCUGCAACCCGCCUGCAUGAAGAUGGAGUUGCUAGUAACCGCAGGUCAGCUAUACUGCGGUGAAUACGUUCCCGGGGCUU
rnacentral:rRNA from 1 species